rnacentral:rRNA from 1 species
UACGGGGGGAGCAAGCGUUGUUCGGAUUUACUGGGCGUAAAGGGCGCGUAGGCGGCCACCGCAAGUCGAUUGUGAAAUCUCCGGGCUUAACCCGGAAAGGUCAACCGAUACUGCGGGGCUAGAGUGCGGAAGGGGCAACUGGAAUUCUUGGUGUAGCGGUGAAAUGCGUAGAUAUCAAGAGGAACACCUGCGGCGAAGGCGGGUUGCUGGGCCGACACUGACGCUGAGACGCGAAAGCUAGGGGAGCGAACAGG